AGCGAACGCUGGCGGCGGGCCUAACACAUGCAAGUCGAACGAACCUUUCGGGGUUAGUGGCGGACGGGUGAGUAACACGUGGGAACGUGCCUUUAGGUUCGGAAUAACUCAGGGAAACUUGUGCUAAUACCGAAUGUGCCCUUCGGGGGAAAGAUUUAUCGCCUUUAGAGCGGCCCGCGUCUGAUUAGCUAGUUGGUUGAGGUAAUGGCUCACCAAGGCGACGAUCAGUAGCUGGUCUGAGAGGAUGAUCAGCCACAUUGGGACUGAGACACGGCCCAAACUCCUACGGGAGGCAGCAGUGGGGAAUCUUGCGCAAUGGGCGAAAGCCUGACGCAGCCAUGCCGCGUGAAUGAUGAAGGUCUUAGGAUUGUAAAAUUCUUUCACCGGGGACGAUAAUGACGGUACCCGGAGAAGAAGCCCCGGCUAACUUCGUG
rnacentral:rRNA from 1 species